rnacentral:rRNA from 1 species
AUUGAACGCUGGCGGCAUGCUUUACACAUGCAAGUCGAACGGUAACAGGCCGCAAGGUGCUGACGAGUGGCGAACGGGUGAGUAAUGCAUCGGAACGUGCCCAGUCGUGGGGGAUAACGCAGCGAAAGCUGUGCUAAUACCGCAUACGAUCUAUGGAUGAAAGCGGGGGACCGUAAGGCCUCGCGCGAUUGGAACGGCCGAUGUCAGAUUAGGUAGUUGGUGGGGUAAAGGCCUACCAAGCCGACGAUCUGUAGCUGGUCUGAGAGGACGACCAGCCACACUGGGACUGAGACACGGCCCAGACUCCUACGGGAGGCAGCAGUGGGGAAUUUUGGACAAUGGGCGCAAGCCUGAUCCAGCAAUGCCGCGUGCAGGGAGAAGGCCUUCGGGUUGUAAACUGCUUUUGUACGGAACGAAACGGUCUGGGUUAAUACCCUGGGCUAAUGACGGUACCGUAAGAAUAAGCACCGGCUAACUACGUGCCAGCCGCCGCCGUAAAAC